rnacentral:rRNA from 1 species
CCCAGACUCCUACGGGAGGCAGCAGUAGGGAAUAUUGCACAAUGGGGGAAACCCUGAUGCAGCGACGCCGCGUGAGUGAAGAAGUAUUUCGGUAUGUAAAGCUCUAUCAGCAGGGAAGAAAAUGACGGUACCUGACUAAGAAGCCCCGGCUAACUACGUGUCAGCAGCCGCGGUAAUACGUAGGGGGCAAGCGUUAUCCGGAUUUACUGGGUGUAAAGGGAGCGUAGACGGCAUGGCAAGUCAGAUGUGAAAGCCCGGGGCUCAACCCCGGGACUGCAUUUGGAACUGUAAGGCUAGAGUGUCGGAGAGGCAGGCGGAAUUCCUAGUGUAGCGGUGAAAUGCGUAGAUAUUAGGAGGAACACCAGUGGCGAAGGCGGCCUGCUGGACGAUGACUGACGUUGAGGCUCGAAAGCGUGGGGAGCAAACAGGAUUAGAUACCCCAGUACAA